AUACAUUCGAACAUCAGCUUAGGAUUUGCCACCUUCUCUCCAGCACUGUCCUAAACAUUUAGAGCAGGGGUUCCACAAACUAUGACCCGUGGGGCAAACACAGCCUCAAUGCCCCCACAUUUGGAACAGUCCUCUGAACAAUGCCAGAGACAUACCGGUUGAAUAAUCGAUUAUCGGCAAGUAUGAUCCAACCAAGAUAUCGGUAUCAUAUCAGUAAAAUCCAUUAUCACCCGACCUUCAGUUAUUAAUGUAGACUAAUUAUUUAUUAGAUUCACCCACCAACCACAUGUCAAAGAGCCACCAGUCACGCCUCCUCCAACACUCAACACUCUUGCUCAGCCUCUCCCUCCUACUAAUCACCUACACCUGUCCUCCAUUUACCCGUCCUAGCUUCCCCUUCACUCACUGUCCGGUCUACAGUUUAGAUCAUCCGGACUACCUACCGCUCUUACUACCUAAGUUUCCAUGCUCCUAACCAGGCUUUGGUGAAGCACUUAGUUAAGUCUGCCAUUUCCUGCAGUCUUGUUUCAUACUCUCUCGUGUUUGUGACCAAUAAACAACACCCUGUUUUACUCCCGGUUCCUGACGCCUGGUCUAUCUGUGACGACGUGCAUAUGCAUAAAUUACUCGUGGACACGUGCCAUGCUGAUGGACUAAAGAGGAAGCUUCAGCACGGUACAUCAUCUCAUCAUCACAUCAUCUCAGCACAUGGGUGGGAUUUUAAACAAACAUGAACAUAAGAAUCCGCCAUCACCUAUACCACGCACCAUGACCUGAUGCAGGACCAUCAGGAGGUGUUUGUGAUCUUCUGAUGGCUGGAGGAUCCCUUAAGCAGAAACGGCCGUGUUUGUUUCGUCAGAACAUAAACAGUUUCUCCACAGCGACGUGUGAAAUCAGCCAAGCAAGCGAACCUGAGAAAACUGAAUACGAACAGGGUCUGGUGCACAUCUGCAGAAGAUGGAUGACCUUCAGACAGUGUGUGAAGGAUUCAGUUGCUGGUGGAGACUGAUGUUACAAAACACACACACUCUCAAACAGCAGAGUUGGAUGGGUCAUUGAUAUUCAGGGCUGCAAUAAAACCAGAUUCUGUCACAUGAUCUUCAGCAGAAGUUUCAGAGAAAGAGUGCAGAUGCUCCUUCAGUUUAUUCACUUCUGUUUAUUACAAAUUAAGCAAAUAAUGUUUUUGUUCUCAAAACUAUAAAUAUUACAAUGAGCUUGUUUAAUCAUUUCUUCAUUCUGAACUCAAACCUGAUAUUAAAUGAUCUACUGUUAACUGGUUCACCAUCAUUAUAUGGUGAUGAUGAAGGUGAAGGUGAUGGUGAAGGUAAAGGCAGAGGUAAAAGUAAAAC